rnacentral:rRNA from 1 species
UACGUAGGGUGCAAGCGUAAUCGGAAUUACUGGGCGUAAAGCGUGCGCAGGCGGUUUUGUAAGCCAGAUGUGAAAUCCCCGGGCUUAACCUGGGAAUGGCAUUUGGGGACUGCAAGGCUGGAGUUUGGCAGAGGAGACUGGAAUUCCUGGUGUAGCAGUGAAAUGCGUAGAUAUCAGGAGGAAUACCGAUGGCGAAGGCAGGUCUCUGGGCUAUAACUGACGCUCAUG